rnacentral:rRNA from 1 species
GACGAACGCUGGCGGCGUGCCUAAUACAUGCAAGUAGAACGCUGAAGGAGGAGCUUGCUUCUCUGGAUGAGUUGCGAACGGGUGAGUAACGCGUAUGUAACCUGCCUGGUAGCGGGGGAUAACUAUUGGAAACGAUAGCUAAUACCGCAUAAUAGCAGUUAUUGCAUGAUAACUGUUUGAAAGGUGCAAUUGCACCACUACCAGAUGGACCUGCGUUGUAUUAGCUAGUUGGUGGGGUAACGGCUCACCAAGGCGACGAUACAUAGCCGACCUGCGAGGGUGGUCGGCCACACUGGGACUGAGACACGGCCCAGACUCCUACGGGAGGCAGCAGUAGGGAAUCUUCGGCAAUGGACGGAAGUCUGACCGAGCAACGCCGCGUGAGUGAAGAAGGUUUUCGGAUCGUAAAGCUCUGUUGUAAGAGAAGAACGAGUGUGAGAGUGGAAAGUUCACACUGUGACGGUAUCUAACCAGAAAGGGACGGCUAACUACGUG